GACGAACGCUGGCGGCGUGCUUAACACAUGCAAGUCGAACGGAAAGGCCCUGCUUUUGUGGGGUGCUCGAGUGGCGAACGGGUGAGUAACACGUGAGUAACCUGCCCUGGACUUUGGGAUAACUUCAGAAAACUGGGGCUAAUACCGGCUAGGAGCUCCUGCUGCAUGGUGGGGGUUGGAAAGUUUCGGCGGUUGGGGAUGGACUCGCGGCUUAUCAGCUUGUUGGUGGGGUAGUGGCUUACCAAGGCUUUGACGGGUAGCCGGCCUGAGAGGGUGACCGGCCACAUUGGGACUGAGAUACGGCCCAGACUCCUACGGGAGGCAGCAGUGGGGAAUAUUGCACAAUGGGCGGAAGCCUGAUGCAGCAACGCCGCGUGCGGGAUGACGGCCUUCGGGUUGUAAACCGCUUUCGCCUGUGACGAAGCGUGAGUGACGGUAAUGGGUAAAGAAGCACCGGCUAACUACGUG
rnacentral:rRNA from 1 species